CCCCUAGAUGUUCUGGGCCGCACGCGCGCUACACUGAACAGUUCAACAAGUCUUAACCUUGGCCGAUAGGUCUGGGUAAUCUUUGAACGCUGUUCGUGAUUGGGAUAGACCUUUGCAAUUAUGGGUCUUCAAUGAGGAAUUCCUAGUAAACGCAAGUCAUCAGCUUGCAUUGAUUACGUCCCUGCCCUUUGUACACACCGCCCGUCGCACCUACCGAUUGAAUGGUCCGGUGAAAUCUCGGGACGGCGGCUUGGUCGCUUGCGUCCGACUGCUGAAACUUGAUUAAACCAUAUCAUUUAGAGGAAGGUGAAGUCGUANCA
rnacentral:rRNA from 1 species